UGUCUCCCAGCCUGAGGUGCAGUGCUGCAUCUCUGGUCAGUUGGGAGUCUGAGAUGAAGCACUGUAGCUCAGGAAGGGA
rnacentral:pre_miRNA from 1 species